rnacentral:lncRNA from 1 species
AACAUGUCCACAGGAAUUUAGCUGGAUUUUUUUUUUUUUUUAAGCUGGAAAAUUUUUAAGCAGUUUUACUACUCCGUGCCAUGACCCAGGCCACGAGAAAUGAUCUUUGUAAAUGAUCUAGCAAAUGUCUAGUUUUGUGUGAUUCAUCUUUCUAGUAAACCAGGAAAGGCAGCAUAUAAAAUAUGUCCCUAGAUGACUUAGAACGCUUGUUGUUCAGGAUUCUUAGCUAUAACCCAGUUAUGUUUCUGCUUGGGCGCUGGAAAAGCACACAAUUUUCAGUGGUUCUCAAAGUGUGGCAAUGAAACAGCCAGCAUCAGCACCAUCUGGGAACUUGUUAGAUAUGCAAAAUCUCAGCCCUAUCCUGGAUCUACUGAAUCAGAGCUGGGGGUGGGGACUCAGCAAUUUGCAUCCUAACAACCCCUGCAGAUGAUUUGAUGUUGGCUAACGUUUGAGAAUCCCCGGUCUUGCGCUGUAACUAAAUAAUCAUCUAUUAAAGCUUCUCGCAGACUAUGAGGCCCCUGCCCCCAAAUCCCAUUGUCACAUGGAAGGAUGUUUAGUUUUCCUUCACUAUGGAGAAGUAGGAGGCACCGCAUCCGGCUUAUGAGAGUGAUAUUAUGAAGGUCUGUUACUAAACUCAAGGUUACAAUGACGGGGGAUCAGACUACAUGUACCCUUAAUUUAUCCCGGUGGAAAGUGUGGUAACUCUUGACUCGGCCUUUGAUAUUGGCUUGGCCUAAAACUGGUUUCUAUUUACAGAUUAAAGGCUGAAGGACACUCAGUGAAGCUGUACGUGAUUCUAUAAAAAUACCCUUCGUGUAUAUCAGAACAGCAGUACUCAACCAACUUUUCCUCGUGUGCUGGGCAAGGACACUGAGAGGUCGUGCAUGUGCUGAGAGGAACGGAGGAAGUGAACCUGGUUCCCCCUGCACACCCCGGAGUCAAACUGCCGCGGUCGAGAAUAAAAACGCAGAUGGUAAUGACCGUGUAUACAUGGGUGCCUCAUCAGGUGCACGCUUUAAAGACAGAUCUUGAACCAUGAUGUCGGGCAGCGUGGGAAAAAGUGGGUAACUCCCUAAAUCUAAUUGCCUUUCCGUUUAGGCUAAACGUUCAACAGUAAAUUUUUGGAACCAACAGCUUACUUUUAGUUCCAAAUUUGGCUCAUUUAGCUAAAUGUCAUAUCUAUUUCAAAAAAGAAGAAUGAACGACUGGCUAUCUUCAAACUCGCAGGAGGCUUUUAAGGUUUUCCAUUUUUAAAAACUUAUUUAGUUUUUACAAUAUGAAAAUUAUAGACAGAGUGACAUUUAAACCUUUGCUUUUCAUAGCAUUUCACACUUAGACCAUUUUAAAAGACAGCUAUUAACAUUUACAAAAAUCUUUCAGAAACCAAAUGUUCUAACAUGCAGAAUUCCAAUUAUACUGUGUAAGAGGGUUAUCAACCAUUCUUCUACAAGAAUACUUUGAAGGGUCUGGUAUUAAACCACGAGCUAAAAUGUCAGUUGCACAUAGACAAUAAAUUAGGGUUUAUAAAAUCUUGUAAGAUUUAU